rnacentral:rRNA from 1 species
UACAGAGGGGGCAAGCGUUAUUCGGAAUUAUUGGGCGUAAAGAGCUCGUAGGCGGUUUGUCGCGUCGAAUGUGAAAACCCGGGGCUCAACCCCGGGCCUGCAUUCGAUACGGGCAGACUAGAGUUCGGUAGGGGAGUCUGGAAUUCCUGGUGUAGCGGUGAAAUGCGCAGAUAUCAGGAGGAACACCGGUGGCGAAGGCGGGACUCUGGGCCGAUACUGACGCUGAGGAGCGAAAGCGUGGGGAGCAAACAGG